rnacentral:rRNA from 1 species
ACAAGGAGCAAUCUGAGGUGGCGACCGGCGCACGGGUGAGUAACACGUAUGCAACCUGCCUGUAAGAGGGGAAUAACCCGUUGAAAGACGGACUAAUACCGCAUAAUACUAAAUUACUGCAUGGUAAUUUAUUUAAACAUUUAUGGCUUACAGAUGGGCAUGCGCAUGAUUAGCUAGUUGGAGAGGUAACGGCUCCCCAAGGCAACGAUCAUUAGGGGUUCUGAGAGGAAGGUCCCCCACACUGGUACUGAGACACGGACCAGACUCCUACGGGAGGCAGCAGUGAGGAAUAUUGGUCAAUGGACGAGAGUCUGAACCAGCCAAGUCGCGUGCAGGAAGAAUGUCCUAUGGAUUGUAAACUGCUUUUGCAGGGGAAUAAAGUGCAUCACGUGUGAUGUUUUGUAUGUACUCUGCGAAUAAGGAUCGGCUAACUCCGUGCCAGCAGCAGC